AGAGUUUGAUCAUGGCUCAGAACGAACGCUGGCGGCGUGGCUAAGGCAUGCAAGUCGAACGGGCAAUUUGAUUUCGGUUGAAUUGCUAGUGGCGAACGGGUGAGUAAUGGAUGAAUAACGUACCCCGGACUCAGGGAUAGCGGCGAGACUUCGGUCUCUUUGCGAAAGUGUCGGUAAUACCUGAUGAACUCGUAGUGUCAUAUGACACAUCGAGCAAAGGUCCGCCGGUCUGGGAGCGGUUCAUCUCCUAUCAGCUUGUUGGUGAGGUAAAGGCUCACCAAGGCUUCGACGGGUAGCGGGCGUGAGAGCGCGACCCGCCACAUCGGGACUGAGACACGGCCCGGACACCUACGGGUGGCUGCAGCAACGAAUAUUCCGCAAUGGACGAAAGUCUGACGGAGCGACGCCGCGUGGUGGAGGAAGUCCUUCGGGAUGUAAACACCUGUCAGGGGCAAGGAAAUUUGACCAGCCCCAGAGGAAGCACCGGCUAACUCCGUGCCAGCAGCCGCGGUAAUACGGAGGGUGCAAGCGUUGUUCGGAAUCACUGGGCUUAAAGCGCGUGUAGGCGGAAUGGUAAGUGUCUUGUGAAAGCCCUCGGCUCAACCGGGGAACUGCUGGGCAAACUAUCAUUCUUGAGGUAGGUAGAGGCAACUGGAACUAUGGGUGGAGCGGUGAAAUGCGUAGAUAUCCAUGGGAACGCCGGUGGCGAAAGCGGGUUGCUGGGCCUAUUCUGACGCUGAGACGCGAAAGCGUGGGGAGCAAACAGGAUUAGAUACCCUAGUAGUCC
rnacentral:rRNA from 1 species